UUGAUGUGUAGGAUAGGUGGGAGGCUUUGAAGCGUGGACGCCAGUCUGCGUGGAGCCAACCUUGAAAUACCACCCUUUAAUGUUUGAUGUUCUAACGUUUGGCCCCUUACCGGGGUUGCGGACAGUGUCUGGUGGGUAGUUUGACUGGGGCGGUCUCCUCCCAAAGCGUAACGGAGGAGCACGAAGGUUAGCUAAUCCUGGUCGGACAUCAGGAGGUUAGUGCAAUGGCAUAAGCUAG
rnacentral:rRNA from 1 species